AGAGUUUGAUCAUGGCUCAGAGCGAACGUUAGCGGCGGGCCUAACACAUGCAAGUCGAACGAGAAUGUAGGCUUCGGCCUACUAGUAAAGUGGCGGACGGGUGCGUAACACGUGGGUAAUCUACCUUCCGGCGGGGGACAACAGUCCGAAAGGAUUGCUAAUACCGCAUACGUCAGCGGCGCCUACGGGCGCUGUUGGGAAAGAUGGCCUCUCCUUGGAAGCUGUCACCGGAAGAUGAACCCGCGUCCCAUCAGCUAGUUGGUGAGGUAAUGGCUCACCAAGGCUAAGACGGGUAGCUGGUCUGAGAGGAUGAUCAGCCACACUGGGACUGCGACACGGCCCAGACUCCUACGGGAGGCAGCAGUGGGGAAUAUUGGGCAAUGGGCGAAAGCCUGACCCAGCCACGCCGCGUGAGUGAUGAAGGCCUUCGGGUCGUAAAGCUCUGUGGGGAGGGACGAAUAAGCUGGGUUGCUAACAUCACCUGGCCCUGACGGUACCUCCUUAGCAAGCACCGGCUAACCCUGUGCCAGCAGCCGCGGUA
rnacentral:rRNA from 1 species